AGAGUUAUAGCCAAGUGGCAAGGCAUUCGUUUUUGAUACGACCAUUCGUAGGUUCAAAUCCUUCUAACUCUA
rnacentral:tRNA from 1 species